AGGAUUAACGCUGGCGGCGUGCCUAACACAUGCAAGUCGAACGAGGGGGGCAACCCCCGAGUGGCAGACGGGUGAGUAACGCGUGGUCAACCUACCCUAGAGUGGGGAAUAACUAGCCGAAAGGUUAGCUAAUACCGCAUGAUACGUUUUGGGACAUCCCAGGACGUUGAAAGGAGCAAUCCGCUCGAGGACGGGACCGCGUCCGAUUAGCUAGUUGGUGAGGUAACGGCCCACCAAGGCUCCGAUCGGUAGCUGGUUUGAGAGAGCGACCAGCCACACUGGGACUGAGAAACGGCCCAGACUCCUACGGGAGGCAGCAGUGAGGAAUUUUCCGCAAUGGGCGAAAGCCUGACGGAGCGACGCCGCGUGUGGGAAGAAGGCCUUCGGGUCGUAAACCACUGUCGAAGGGACUAUACUGAAGGUACCCUUGGAGGAAGCCCCGGCUAACUACGCGCCAGCAGCCGC
rnacentral:rRNA from 1 species